rnacentral:rRNA from 1 species
CUAAUCUGCGAUAAGCGCCGGUAAGGUGAUAUGAACCGUUAUAACCGGCGAUACCCGAAUGGGGAAACCCAGUGUGACUCGUCACACUAUCAUUAACUGAAUCCAUAGGUUAAUGAGGCGAACCGGGGGAACUGAAACAUCUAAGUACCCCGAGGAAAAGAAAUCAACCGAGAUUCCCCCAGUAGCGGCGAGCGAACGGGGAGGAGCCCAGAGCCUGAAUCAGCAUGUGUGUUAGUGGAAGCGUCUGGAAAGGCGCGCGAUACAGGGUGACAGCCCCGUACACAAAAGCGCAUGUGCUGUGAGCUCGAUGAGUAGGGCGGGACACGUGGUAUCCUGUCUGAAUAUGGGGGGACCAUCCUCCAAGGCUAAAUACUCCUGACUGACCGAUAGUGAACCAGUACCGUGAGGGAAAGGCGAAAAGAACCCCGGCGAGGGGAGUGAAAAAGAACCUGAAACCGUGUACGUACAAGCAGUGGGAGCACCCUUUGGGGUGUGACUGCGUACCUUUUGUAUAAUGGGUCAGCGACUUAUAUUCUGUAGCAAGGUUAACCGAAUAGGGGAGCCGGAGGGAAACCGAGUCUUAAUUGGGCGUUAAGUUGCAGGGUAUAGACCCGAAACCCGGUGAUCUAGCCAUGGGCAGGUUGAAGGUUGGGUAACACUAACUGGAGGACCGAACCGACUAAUGUUGAAAAAUUAGCGGAUGACCUGUGGCUGGGGGUGAAAGGCCAAUCAAACCGGGAGAUAGCUGGUUCUCCCCGAAAGCUAUUUAGGUAGCGCCUCGUGAAUUCAUCUCCGGGGGUAGAGCACUGUUUCGGCUAGGGGGCCAUCCCGGCUUACCAACCCGAUGCAAACUGCGAAUACCGGAGAAUGUUAUCACGGGAGACACACGGCGGGUGCUAACGUCCGUCGUGAAGAGGGAAACAACCCAGACCGCCAGCUAAGGUCCCAAAGUCAUGGUUAAGUGGGAAACGAUGUGGGAAGGCCCAGACAGCCAGGAUGUUGGCUUAGAAGCAGCCAUCAUUUAAAGAAAGCGUAAUAGCUCACUGGUCGAGUCGGCCUGCGCGGAAGAUGUAACGGGGCUAAACCAUGCACCGAAGCUGCGGCAGCGACACUGUGUGUUGUUGGGUAGGGGAGCGUUCUGUAAGCCUGUGAAGGUGGCCUGUGAGGGUUGCUGGAGGUAUCAGAAGUGCGAAUGCUGACAUAAGUAACGAUAAAGCGGGUGAAAAGCCCGCUCGCCGGAAGACCAAGGGUUCCUGUCCAACGUUAAUCGGGGCAGGGUGAGUCGACCCCUAAGGCGAGGCCGAAAGGCGUAGUCGAUGGGAAACGGGUUAAUAUUCCCGUACUUGGUGUUACUGCGAAGGGGGGACGGAGAAGGCUAUGUUGGCCGGGCGACGGUUGUCCCGGUUUAAGCGUGUAGGUGUGUGUUCCAGGUAAAUCCGGUU